AGAAUCUUCCGCAAUGGGCGCAAGCCUGACGGAGCGACACCGCGUGCAGGAUGAAGGCCUUCGGGUUGUAAACUUCUGUCACGCUUUAGGAAUGUCCGGACGUGAAUAGCGUCCGGCGUGACCAAGGCGAGAGGAGGCACCGGCGUACUCUGUGCCAGCAGCCGCGGUAAGACAGAGGGUGCAAACGUUGUUCGGAAUUAAUGGGCAUAAAGAGCACGUAGGUGGUCUGUUAAGUUACGUGUGAAAUGCCCCGGCUCAACCGGGGAAUUGCGCGUGAUACUGGCAGGCUCGAGGCGGGUAGGGGUGAGCGGAACUCCAGGUGGAGCGGUGAAAUGCGCAGAUAUCUGGAGGAACACCGGUGGCGAAAGCGGCUCACUGGACCCGAUCUGACACUGAGGUGCGAAAGCUAGGGUAGCAAA
rnacentral:rRNA from 1 species